UAGAUAAAGGAGUUUAGCUACUGAAACUCAUGUUUUAACUCCAAAAUUCUCAAUAAAAAAUUCUCUGAAAAAAAACUCUCUCCCUUCUCAAUUCAAAGAACCUUCCCUUUUUUAAAGGGAUGAUCCUAAAUUAAAGAGAAAUAAAAGAAAAAUCCCUUUAUAAGGGAGAAAUAACAAUCCCUAAUUUAUUGAUCUCUUUAAAAUCAUUUCUUUCCAAAAUGGUUUUUGCAAUUAAUUGAGAAUCUGAUAUGGAUAUCCUAUUGAUAUUGAACGAGCUGUGCCCAAAUUCUGUCAUGCCCAAGGUUUGUUUCGCGAGGUUUGCCCUGUCCAAGGUUGGCAUUGCCCGAGGUUGGCCUUGCAACUCCACCUUUGAUUUCUACCUAAAUCUUCUAAUUACGUGCUUUUCUUUCCAAAGAGUACAAAAUUUAUCAAUAUCGCAAAAAUGGAAGAAAUAUUAAUAAUUCAGCAUAAUCAACUCCAAUUUCAUAAGAAAGAAUAUGCAUUAAAUAGGCCAAAUAUACACCCUAUCAAAUUCCCCCACACUUAGUUUAUGCUUUUCUUCAAGUAUGAGAUAUAUAUAAAAAUUCAUGUCCCACAUGUAACUCCCUAACUCGGCCUUCCCUGUUUGAAUAAAGUUUAAACCAAUAAGUUUCAAGAGAUUAACUCAAAGAGCAAUAUAAAGGUAGACAACAGUAGUAUACCCCCCUAUAAAGCCCAAAACACAAGCAUUAAAAAUACACAAAGUAGAGCCUCCAUAUUUAAGCACACAAUAGAGAUUUUUAAGUGACUAAGUCAACUCAAAUCAAGUUAAAUGCUAAAACUAGCUAGGCUAUAAAGCACACAACACUUCAUAUUUUUAUAUUCUUUUAAUGCUAAGUGCCAGUGGACCAUUCUACUUUAAAAAUCUUCUUCAUAUUGUACAUAGUUGAGCACUUUUUCUUGCUUGAGGUGUUAAUUUUUUUCAUGCAAGAGCGCAUAUUGGUGAUACCCAUCUCUGGAUACUUGUGUCACAAUCCUCAAGUGGCUACUAGCUUUACUCUUUAUCCAUUACGAGACAGAGGAGUAGGUUUUGUGCUUUUAGGGUUUAUUUUACUUCCUUGAAGAUGAAAUUGCUCAUCCAUCACUUAGCACUUUUAUUUUGAACACAAUGUUAUCACAAAAUUACCAUGGCAUUGUUUCAGCACAUAUUUUAACUAAGUUGACAAUCAAAUUGAGAGCAAGUAAUUUUUUCAGUCAAGUAUUCAUUAUAAGGCUCUCUUAAUGUGUAUUUAAGAGUCUAGCAGUGUGAGCAAAGGAGAGACUCUAUUAAGACUACCUAGACAUUGCAAACUGACUUAACCUCCCAAAGCUAAAAUGGCUAGCUUUUCAUGUAAGCAGGGGUCUAAAGACAUUGAAAAUGGCUUAACAAGAGGGAAGAAACUGUGGAAUUAUCUCGAUGUAACCAUUGUGGAAUUAUGCUCGAUGUAACCCCCCCACACUCAGCUCACUUGGUCCCCAAAGUGAAAAAUGCAUAAACAACAAAUUGAAAACAAGAAAGAAAAAAAAUAAAAAGACAAAGAAAGGAAGGGGACUUCCCUGGAUUCAUAGGGGUAGCGGGCGCUUCACGCCAAGUGUGUGGUAGAGGGCAAUGAUGGUCAGAUCCAUUUAGGAAGGAUGGGAGACAACAGUAUCCAGGCCAGAUUCAGGGUGCUUUAGUCGCUAGUCCAAUUCAAUCGCUCAGCAAGUUUAGUGUCAUCGGGUGGAGGCCCAGAUGGUUAGCAUGUACAGACCUGGCAAUUAGGGGCAGACCCGAAGGUGGCAUGGGAAAAUAGGUCAAGGGACAAUUGGGAGCAAACUGAUGUUCCUGUAGCAUUUCGGGGCACUGGGCUCUAUAAAUGUGAGAUAGCCAUUAAGGUCGGAAUCUCUAGGAGUGAGAAUGGACUUGCCCUGUAUUGAGGUCAAAAUUGUUGUCACCCAAUCAUUAGCACUUUAAUUGGUGGUGGUCCCCACUCCUCUUUUUUUUCGCAACCUAUAUAUCUGAAAUAGAAAGAAACAGACUCUAGAC
rnacentral:lncRNA from 1 species